UGGUGAAACUUUUAUUAUCCUCACAUUAUAAAUCAGUAAGACAAGGUGACAAUAUACUACAGUAAGUCUAAUUAACUUAAAUUUACUUAAUCAAUAGGCAUUCUGUGGGGAUUUCUGUGGGGAUUUGAUAAGAUCAUUUCAAAAGUAAAUUAAAUAGUUUUAUUUAAAUUAACUCUCAUAUAAAUAAAAACUACAAAAUUUAGACAAAAUACAAAAAAUAAAAAACUUGUGAAGCCUCCAGAAAGUGACCAAAGCACUUGGAUUGUGGAAGGUUGAA
rnacentral:lncRNA from 10 species